GAUGAACGCUGGCGGCGUGCCUAAUACAUGCAAGUCGAGCGAACAGACGAGGAGCUUGCUCCUUCGACGUUAGCGGCGGACGGGCGAGUAACACGUAGGUAACCUACCUAUAUGACUGGGAUAACUUCGGGAAACCGGAGCCAAUACCGGCUAAUAUUUCGAACCGCAUGGUUCGAUAGUGAAAGAUGGCUUUGCUAUCACUUAUAGAUGGACCUGCGUCGUAUUAGCUAGUUGGUAAGGUAACGGCUUACCAAGGCGACGAUCCGUAGCCGAGCUGAGAGGAUGAUCGGCCACACUGGAACUGAGACACGGUCCAGACUCCUACGGGAGGCAGCAGUGGGGAAUCUUGGGCAAUGGGCGAAAGCCUGACGGAGCAACGCCGCGUGGGUGAAGAAGGUCUUCGGAUCGUAAAGCCCUGUUAUUAGGAAAGAAAAAACGUAUGAUAAACUGCCGACGUCUUGACGGUACCUAAUGAGAAAGCCACGGCUAACUACGUG
rnacentral:rRNA from 1 species